rnacentral:rRNA from 1 species
ACCCNUGURAACCAUACCAAACUGUUGCCUCGGCGGGGUCACGCCCCGGGCGNUNNNGCAGCCCCGGAACCAGGCGCCCGCCGGAGGGACCAACCAAACUCUUUCUGUAGUCCCCUCGCGGACGUUAUUUCUUACAGCUCUGAGCAAAAAUUCAAAAUGAAUCAAAACUUUCAACAACGGAUCUCUUGGUUCUGGCAUCGAUGAAGAACGCAGCGAAAUGCGAUAAGUAAUGUGAAUUGCAGAAUUCAGUGAAUCAUCGAAUCUUUGAACGCACAUUGCGCCCGCCAGUAUUCUGGCGGGCAUGCCUGUCCGAGCGUCAUUUCAACCCUCGAACCCCUCCGGGGGUCCGGCGUUGGGGAUCGGGAACCCCUAAGACGGGAUCCCGGCCCCGAAAUACAGUGGCGGUCUCGCCGCAGCCUCUCAUGCGCAGUAGUUUGCACAACUCGCACCGGGAGCGCGGCGCGUCCACGUCCGUAAAACACCCAACUUCUGAAAUGUUGACCUCGGAUCAGGUAGGAAUACCCGCUGAACUUAAGCAUAUCAAUAAGCG